rnacentral:rRNA from 1 species
GAUGAACGCUGGCGGCGUGCCUAAUACAUGCAAGUCGAGCGAACAGACGAGGAGCUUGCUCCUCUGACGUUAGCGGUGGACGGGUGAGUAACACGUGGAUAACCUACCUAUAAGACUGGGAUAACUUCGGGAAACCGGAGCUAAUACCGGAUAACCUGUUGAACCGCAUGGUUCAACAGUGAAAGACGGUCUUGCUGUCACUUAUAGAUGGAUCCGCGCCGCAUUAGCUAGUUGGUAAGGUAACGGAUUACCAAGGCAACGAUGCGUAGCCGACCUGAGAGGGUGAUCGGCCACACUGGAACUGAGACACGGUCCAGACUCCUACGGGAGGCAGCAGUAGGGAAUCUUCCGCAGUGGGCGAAAGCCUGACGGAGGAACGCCGCGUGAGUGAAGAAGGUCUUCGGAUCGUAAAACUCUGUUAUUAGGGAAGAACAAAUGUGUAAGUAACUAUGCACGUCUUGACGGUACCUAAUCAGAAAGCCACGGCUAACUACGUGCCAGCCGCCGCCGUAA